GCAGGACUUCCACAGCCAACAGAACCAUCCCCUAAAAAGCAAGCUGUGAGAGCAGAAAAGACUCCGCAAGUAGUUACAGUUACAACAGCCACAGUUAGUGCUUCAGUAGAAUCUCAGCCCAAAAAGCAACCCCAAAAUGAUGUGACAUUAAGUGCUCUAAAUGCUCCUGAAAGUGAUGUAGAUAUUGAAGGAGAUUCUUCCUCAUCAAAACGCUUAGAUUUUGAUUCAGAUGUAGAUUCCAGCAUGUUGUGAACUCAGUGUGUAGAGAGUUCCAGACCAUGGCAGCAUUUACUAACAGUUAGGUCUUCUGUGACACACUGAUGAGCGAAUGGCAAUUAUUUAUAUUUCAACACUUGGAUCUGCAAAUUUUAUUUUACAUUGUUUGGAUUAAAGGCUCGAAAUUCAUCACCUGAUUUAAUGAAGCAAUUCCUGUUGCGUCAUUGUAAAUCAUGUUUAUUCUCCACUUUUUAUUGAUGGUUCAUGCUGAAGGGGAGUUAACUUGUCUUCACCUUAAUGGGGGAGAUAAAUAGUCCUCUUCUGUUCAAUUUUCUUGUUGAAAUUUAAAAAUUAUCUAAUUAUGAAAAUGUUAGUACAUGUAAUUCUGGUACAUGUACUUAAAUUAAAAUGUGAGUUGAUCAAAGUGAACAAAAUACAUGUAUAUGUGAAACAAGUAAUUUAUUUACAAGUUCAUAUUAUAUAUAUAUGCCUACUACAUUGGUUGUUGCCCCUGAUAUGUAUACAUACUUUUUAAAGCAAUAUGAGCUGUAAUUUUUUUAGAAAUUUAUUUUGCUGCACAAACCUGCUAGCAUGAUAACUGUACAUGUUACUUAAACUUUUAUUAUAGAAAAGAUUUGAAAAAAUCAUUAAUUUUUAUCAGAGGAAAGAUUUCUCUUCUGAGGAAUGUAUAGCAGAUCAAUUUUUGUACAGGAGGACAAAAAUUCAAUUUUGCCUUAAUUAAGGCUUCUUAAUGGCCUUUUCCACAAAAAUAUGGCUUACAGAAAUUCAAAAACCAUGAUUUUUUUUGUUAUUUUAGUAGAAAAUAACAUUUUUGUAAAAAAAAAAUGUCAACAUGAAAUUUGCAGCUCAUAUUGCUUUAAAAUAUUUUAAGAGGUCAAAAUUACACAGAGUUUCAGAAUGAAAAUUAAAUUACCCUUAACUUUCAAACGAUGUCAGCAAAAAUGCAGUUUGUUAGAGAUGUACAAGAACCAAAAAAAUAGAAAAUCACAAAUGAAUUCAAAAGAGAAAAAAAUACCCAUAGAUUAGACAGUAUGUGUUAAUUAAAUAAUGUUUUGAACCUUUGGAAAAAUGUAUGUUGUUCAUUAGCAGGCAUUUUUUUUCCAUAAUUUUUCAUUCAAAACAAGCGUGAUGGAGAAAUUGGUGCUAGACUUCCAUGGAAUACCUUUUCUUGUCUGUAUAACUAUGUCUCAAUUAAACUUUACAAAAUGUGUUUUCAUGUCACAUUAGCAAUCCGUGGGUUGGUACUACAGUACUUUGUGGCUCACUCACAUUGGAGCGUGUCUGAGUCGAUAUCUGAUAUUUAGAAUAGUUUUACUGUUCAUAUUUUACAUGUAUCACUAUAUCCUCAUUAGAUGUGAAUGUUUUAUCAUUUUUUUGGUGUUUUAGAAGAAUUACGUUAUUAAAUACUGUGAA
rnacentral:misc_RNA from 1 species